UGGAGCUCACACUGACGAGCCAAUGAGAUCAAGUGCAUUCAUGGGAAGUCACGUUGAGGUCAAAUAAUCAUACAUUCAGUGGUAAUGACAAAUGGAAUGGUGGAUUUACAAAUGCGUUUUACAAUGUGUGCUAUGCUGUCAUUGGCACCGUUUUUGUGUGUUGACUGUGUGUUUGUGAAUGGAACAAACGAGAAUUACGAGUGUGUUUCACUGUAGCCCUACCUUGAGUGUGAGUCUGUGGAAUCAGGAUGUUGGAUUGAGGGGCAGGGCAUUGAGACUGUUAAAUAUUGACUGGGAGUGUAAUAAUUAACUUGGCUCCCACUCCUGAUCUCUCUUAAACUGGCCACUCUCUCUGCCAUGGCAUUGCUGACAAACGCACCCUAAACUCCUUCUCCUUUCUACCUCUCCUCUUAGUGAGGCUGUCUUUGUAUAUGUUCAUCACUGUUUUGCCUUCUAUCAGACGUUUCUGCUACAUUAGACUGCUCUUUCCUUAUUUAUGCCUUUCUAUCCUUGCACCCCCCAAAAGCUGACGCUCCCUAACCUCUGGCCUCGUGCUCUGAAAGCCACCGGGCCAGGCUCGGCUGCAUCUGAAGGUAUUUCAAAGUGAGAUAUCAUACGCCCACCAGAAACAACUGAAGGUGUGACCUCAAUAUAUGGGCCUAGCUCAAUGUUGCAUGAAUGCAGUAAUAUCGUUAUCCUGUAGGAGGCAGAGUGUGCUAUGAACAGCUUGUGGACAAAUCUGGUGCUUGCUGGCUGUAACAGCAACUCCAUGUGGAAGUUGUCUGUGUUCCAGUGGAGAUGCUGUUACCUGCAGAGAGUCACCCCCUAGCCAGCUCUGACAUAGAAUCAAUGUUUAGAAUAUCACAGUCCUUUCGGUUGAACUCAGUUAUAUCUGCUUUUACCACAUUGUCAUGGAUUUUUUUAUGAUAAAUGUUGUAUUAUUUAGAACAGUCUCUAGAUCAUUCAAGAGAUAUGUGCUCCUUGUUUUCUAUGACAACAUCAUGUGAAGAUAUGUAUGCCCUCCAAACUUUGGUUUGAAUUCAGAGUAGGGAUGCAUGGUGAUGACCUAUGAAUUGACAGCCAGUGUUUGCAACACAACUGCCUGUCAGUUCUGUAGGCCACUGCUGUGUCUAUCCUACUGAGCACACACAGGGGUUUAUAUGGAGCAAAGGAACUCAUUGAUAUGUUUGAUAAAUUGUCAGAAACCUAUGAUAAUAUUCUGUAUAGUAUACAUUUGCAAGUUAUUUGAAGACAAUACAAUUGUUUUGUUGCUAACCUUGGAAAUAAAGACUGAAAACACUC